CAGCCCUGACCCUGCAGCUCUGGGAGAGGAGUCCCAGCCCCAGGAGUCCCAGGUGUCUCUAGUCUGUCAUCAGGACUCAACACACACCACUCACCAUGGAGUCUGGGCUGAGCUGGGUUCUCCUUGCUGCUCUUCUGGGAGGUGUGCAGUGUGAGGUGCAGCUUGUGGAGUCUGGAGGAGGCUUGGUGCAGCCUGGGGGGUCUCUGAGACUCACCUGUGCUGUCUCUGGAUUCAACAUUGGAAUUGCUGACAUAUGCUGGAUCCGCCAGGCUUCAGGGGAGGGGCUGCAGUGGGUCUCAAGCAUUAGUAGUGGUGGAAGCACUCACUACACUGACUCCGUGAAGGGCCGGUUCGCCAUCUCCAGAGACAACGCCAAGAACACGGUGUAUCUGCAAAUGGACAGCCUGACAGACAAGGACACAGCCCUGUAUUACUGUGCAGCAGACACAGUGAGGGGAAGUCAGCGUGAGCCCAGACACCAACCUCCCUGCAGGGACACAGCACGGGCUGGGCUGCAGGGGACUCAGGACACCAGGGGCGUGGGAUCCAGUGCAGGCUCAGCCCCAGGAGCAGGUGCAGGGGGAAGGGAAGGGCUGGCUUCCUGUGAGGUCUGGGGCUUCCUCUCCGCAUGGAAGCUCACCAGGGAAAUGUCUGUGUUUACCAUCCUUUGGGUCCACUCCCAGGUCCAGCUGGUGCAGUCUGGUGCUGUGCUAAAGAAGCCAGGUGCAUCCGUGAAGGUCCCCUGCAAGGCACCCAGAGACACCUUCACCAGCUACUGUAUAAGCCAGGUGUGA